rnacentral:misc_RNA from 1 species
AACCAUAGAAACCUGCGGAGUACCUGCGGAAGGAUCAUUACCGAGUUUACAAACUCCCAACCCUAUGUGAACCUUACCAAUCGUUGCUUCGGCGGGCUUAGCCCCCGCGCCCUCGCCGGCGCCGGGAGAAAGGCGCCCGCCGGGGACCCCAAACCCAAUGUUUUUCAUGCAGUAUUUCUGAGUGGCAAACGCAAAAAUAAAUCAAAACUUUUAGCAACGGAUCUCAGAUCGGAAGAGCAC